rnacentral:misc_RNA from 1 species
GAAGUGCGAUAAGCAAUGCGAAUUGCAGAAUUCCGCGAAUCAUCAGAUCUUUGAACGCAAAUGGCGCCAGAGGGAUAUCCUUUUGGCAUGUCUGUUUCAGUGUCUGAGAGGUUUCACCUAUAUCUUAAUGUGAUUGACUCGUGGGUGAGGUUUUAUUAAAUCUGACUUACAGUCUCUCAUGAAAGAUGCGCGAGUGGAUCUUUCGGUCCAAUGAAGUGGUCACAUCACUCGUAUGUGAUUUCAUUGGAAGCACCGAAUUAUUCGCUAUACUCGCGGUUCCUGUGUAAUAGUCUUUUCUUAACGGAAAAUACUGUUAUUACUAACUCUCUACACCCUGCAUCUGAGACAGGCAAGAUCACCCGCUGAACUUAA